AGGGGGAAACGAGGGAGGAGAGAGAGAGCGCGAACAAGAUGGGAGAAGAUUUUAUCUUGGCUGGCAGUAAUUUGGCAGCCGAUCAGGCCCCCAUCCUUAAAUCUCAUUAGCCAAUUGUUCGCAUGAUGCUGCCUGGGUGAAGUAGAGGGCCAGGAGAUGCAGCUUAAAGAUGGUUAGAGGAUAUUUGGACCUGGCAUUUCUUUUUUUACAUCUUUGUGUCUGAAAGUGUCUGUAAGUGAGGUCCAGGUGGUCUUUAUCUGGCUGACUGCAUCACAACUGUUCUCCCCAGGCACCUGCAUUGAUACUCAGGAUGGCGCAUGCCGAAAUGCUGCCGUAUCCUGAUGGUCAUGGAAGUGCAAGCCUUCUUUGGGAAUUUGGCUGACCGCUCUGUGAAAUGUUGGGCAAAAGUCUUAUGAUUCCUCAAACCACUUCUGGAGUUGGUUUUUACUUGAAGUUUUGCUUGCUUUUGAUCAAUUUGAUUCAUAAAUAUGACAACAGUGAGAGAGGCUGCUUUGAUUGACAGUGAAUGAGGUCAUCCACUGUGUUCACGCCCACAACUGCGCACACGACCCUUUCCUUAAAUACAGCGACUUGUCUGUGAAAUUACACCGGGUCGAGCACUCUAUUAAGAGAUA